GAAAUGUCGUCUUCCGGACACAAGGCACCACUGCGCACAUGGUCUGCACGGGUACUUGCUUCCAGUCUUGAUGACUUGAGUUUGAUGCCCGGAUCCAUGUGAUGGAAAGGGAAAGCCAACUCCUGCAAGUUGUCCUGUGACUACUCGUGGAUGCUGCAGGGUGGCCUUUGCUGGAUGGUACACAGAUAUUUAAAAGCAGGAAUUGAGUACUGAUUGCAGUAGCUUUGGAGGAUGGAUGCUCUGUCUGACUUUCUUAUGAUGCUCCUGGAAGAUGAGACCCUCUAGGAAGAAGCCUCUGCUUCCCACUGCUGGAUUGUGAUGGAUCUCAUUCGUGCUUGUCUCACUCCUGGAACAAAACCUCUGACCGGAGCAACUUAAGGAAGGGAAUGUGAAAAGCUAUGCUGACAGGGGAGGUAAGGUGGUAUAAAUGGCGCCCUAGCUUUGGUUGCAGGAGCACGAGGAG
rnacentral:lncRNA from 1 species